rnacentral:snoRNA from 1 species
CUUCUGUGAUGAUUCGAUGACGAGACGGAACAGGAACCUCUGGUCCUGCAGGUUGCCGGUUCAGAACCACGUUCUGUGGUUCUGCUCCAGUUCCUCAGAUCCAGGGUUCCUUUUCACGUGAAGACACUGAGGCAUUUGUCUGAGAAGG